UGGAAUGCUGAGGCUUCAAACGUGAUCGAGAAUGACCUUAUCUUCAUACCAUGAACAAGUUGAAUUAAUUCCUUCGGUACUGAGCAAAAUAAUUAUGGAAGCCAAAUAAAAUCAAACCUCCAAACUUUAUUUUUUGGAUUUUGUGUAUAAAAGCUAUCUUGCGGUGCUUUGAAUUGGCCUCCGGUUUGAAGGUCAAUUUCUUCAAGAGCAUGCUAGUAGGGAUUAGGGUGGAUGAGUUAUCCUUGGCUAGAUUCGCUGGCGUCCUUAAUUGUAAAUGUGGACGGCUACCUUUUGUCUACUUAGGUAUUCCUAUACGGGCUAACCCUAGAAAUGAGGUGAUGUGGGAACCGGUAAUAAGGAAAUUGAAGAGCAAAUUAGCUGUGUGGAAGCAAAAGUCGCCUUCCAUUGGAGGGAGACUGACUCUCACUAAUUCGGUACUUGCUUCAUUGCCUUUAUACUAUGCAUCUUUCUUUAAGAUUCCACCUUGUGUGAUUAAGAAGAUUUUUAGGAUACAAAGAGGGUUUCUUUGGGGUGGAGAGGAGGAUGGGGGGAAGGUGGCUUGCGUGAAGUGGGAUGAUGUGUGUGUGGCCAAGGGAGAUGGAUGGCUUGGUAUAAAAAAUAUAAAGACUUUUAAUGUUGCACUUUUCGGCAAAUGGAGGUGCAGGCCUGCUUUAAAUCAAGAUUGAUUAUUGUCUAAGGUACUUAGAUCAAAAUAUCUAUUUUCUUUCCCCUCUCUCGUUAAAAGAAUGCCUAAUGAUGAUUCAUUGGGGUGAAGAGAUUUUGGGGAGGUAUAUGGCCAAAAUGGAGGUGGGGAUGAACCUUCUAGGUUUGAUAGAAACCUUUUGUGGGAGGUGGGCAAUGGGAAAAAAGUAAGUUUUUUGGCAUUCCAACCGUGUGGGGGAAGAUUGCUUAGCAAAGAGGUUCCCACGGGUGUAUCUUAAUUCUACACAAAAAGAUCUCGUGGUUGGGGAGAUAGAUGUUUGGGUGGAUGGUGGGUGGGUUUGGAAGUUGGGAUGGCGUAGGAACUGGUUCACAUGGGAAGAACCAAUAGUGGAUGAUCUCAACCAAAUUCUGCAACGUGUCAUGUUGUCCCAAGAACGAGAGGAUAGGCUUAUAUGGAAGGCAGCAUCAUCUUGAUGAUCAUUCACCGCCAAUUCGCAUUUGGAAUCUCAAAUUGCCUUAUAUGGUGGGUGUCUUUUUGUGGAGGGUACUUAAGCAUAGGCUGCCAUCUAAAGAUAACUUGGUGAGACGACGCAUUCUAUCUCCAGGAGGAUAUUUUGAGAUUAAAAGAGGUUACCCGCAUGCAAAAUUUACUAUAAGUUAUAAAGGGUGGUAUGAGUGACUCAACAGAAAGUACCCAAAAUGAUAAAGAAGUCAGAGAAAGUAAUUAACUCUUACUGUCAAGCCACAAAGUAAGUUUUUGUCCUGCUUUCAUGCAUCAUUUUGAUAAUUUGAAGUGACUUUCUUAAUUGUUUGCGAGAAUUCACACUGUGGGAAAGGAUGUUGAUGUUGCUGUGGUAAUUAGCUUGUUCACAUGAAGGCAACUAAUGUGUCGAGUGAGCUUAGUUGAUUUAUCAUUGAAUGCAAGAGGAUCAUGUUUUUUUUUGGAAGGCAACAUUUGAUGUUCUUUUUAAAAUUAGUUUGAAUUUUAAGUGUUUGGGUUAUUGAAGAUUAGUGGUGGUUUUGUAUAUGUUUACUAUUUAGAACGGUUGUUAAGACUGAAUUUUGUAUAUUGAAGAUUCAAAUUUUUAGUGUAAUUGUUUUAUGCAAA